GAUGAACGCUGGCGGCGUGCCUAAUACAUGCAAGUCGAGCGAACGGACGAGAAGCUUGCUUCUCUGAUGUUAGCGGCGGACGGGUGAGUAACACGUGGAUAACCUACCUAUAAGACUGGGAUAACUUCGGGAAACCGGAGCUAAUACCGGAUAAUAUUUUGAACAGCAUGGUUCAAAAGUGAAAGACGGUCUUGCUGUCACUUAUAGAUGGAUCCGCGCUGCAUUAGCUAGUUGGUAAGGUAACGGCUUACCAAGGCAACGAUGCAUAGCCGACCUGAGAGGGUGAUCGGCCACACUGGAACUGAGACACGGUCCAGACUCCUACGGGAGGCAGCAGUAGGGAAUCUUCCGCAAUGAGCGAAAGCCUGACGGAGCAACGCCGCGUGAGUGAUGAAGGUCUUCGGAUCGUAAAACUCUGUUAUUAGGGAAGAACAUAUGUGUAAGUAACUGUGCACAUCUUGACGGUACCUAAUCAGAAAGCCACGGCUAACUACGUG
rnacentral:rRNA from 1 species